rnacentral:lncRNA from 1 species
GGAUCCUAGCCGAAUUCCACUUCUUUGUCCUUCCCUACAGUCAGGCAGAGCUCUAGGCACACAAAGGAGAAGGAUGAGGGAAAUGUGCUCCCAGCACACCUCGCCAGAAUGGCCUGUCACUCCUUCCCUGUGUCCCUUUCACCCCUUGCCACUGUCCCCCAGAUGUUAUUUAUCCCUGUGAUCAUUGGGUUCCCUAGGUGUCCCAUGCAGACUUGGUGGAGCAGAGCACAUGUGGAUUUUCUUCAGAGCAGAAACACCUGAGGGCACAGUGGAGAGGCUGCAGUGGCCUGGGUCUCCUCAGCCUGUGAGCAGAGCAGCACAGAGGAGUCCCUGGCAGAGCAGGAGUGAAUGAAUUUGCACUGUACAGCUGCUUUCCAGACCCCAGUGCUCUCACUGCCUGAAUCCCAGCGGCAGCCUCCAGACCCCACUGGAGGACAAGCUCAGUCCUGCCAGGAAAGCAAAUCUCCUUGGAGAGGCCAAUCCUCAGGGCAGAGGGGGCAAUGACACAGAUGCUCUCUGUCAUUCCCCAGGGCUCCCAGCCAGCCAAUGCCUUCUCUCACUUCUUGGCCAGCCCCACCCCGAGAUGUCUCACACUCACCCACUGCUCCCUCUCCACAUGUCUUUGGGCAGCUACCAGGGGCAGGUUGCUGUGAGGGUAGGGGCAUUUCCUUCCAUGGUUCCCUGCUGGUACUUUGUGGCCAUGCUGGCCCCUCUGGUGUUAGCCCUGGAACGGUCUCCAGACAUGGUGAUAAAAGAAGGCCAGUCCAUGAAUCUGGAAUGUUCCAAGAAGAAAUACGCCAGCACAGCUAUGUAUUGGUUUGUGCUGCCUUCAGAGAAGAAUUCCAGUCUGACCCUACUGGCUUCUGCAGUACAAGGUGGUAACCCAGUGGUGGAGAAGGGUUUUGAGAGCCAUUUCAAGAGCAGCAAGAUAAAAGGAGACAGUAUCACCCUCUCAAUAGAACAUACCUUUCUCAAUGACUCUGGCACGUACUACUGUGCUGAGGGCGAGCACAGUGCUGAAUCUGCUGAGGGAGCUGAGCACAAACCUCUCCCUGCACAUACAGGACCUGCUUUCCACCUUGUGGUUGCUGCAGGAGGCUUCUCACUCAUUAGCUUCUGUGCUUCCUAG